rnacentral:rRNA from 1 species
AACGAACGCUGGCGGCAUGCCUAACACAUGCAAGUCGAACGAACCCUUCGGGGUUAGUGGCGCACGGGUGCGUAACGCGUGGGAAUCUGCCCUUUGCUUCGGAAUAACAGUUAGAAAUGACUGCUAAUACCGGAUGAUGUCUUCGGACUAAAGAUUUAUCGGCAAGGGAGGAGCCCGCGUAGGAUUAGGUAGUUGGUGGGGUAAAGGCCUACCAAGCCGACGAUCCUAAGCUGGUCUGAGAGGAUGAUCAGCCACACUGGGACUGAGACACGGCCCAGACUCCUACGGGAGGCAGCAGUGGGGAAUAUUGGACAAUGGGCGCAAGCCUGAUCCAGCAAUGCCGCGUGAGUGAUGAAGGCCUUCGGGUCGUAAAGCUCUUUUACCAGGGAUGAUAAUGACAGUACCUGGAGAAUAAGCUCCGGCUAACUCCGUGCCAGCCGCCGCUGUAACAC